rnacentral:hammerhead_ribozyme from 1 species
AUCCAUGUGACGAGUCCCGAAUAGGACGAAACGCGCGUCUUGGAU